rnacentral:lncRNA from 1 species
GUAGCUGAUAGCAGUUUGCAGUUAACGUUUAUUACUACAGGUGGCUACCCGCUUCUUUGGGCUUUUUAAGAAAAGUGUGGUUUGGGCCCUGAAGAUUGCAUGCUUUCUUGGCCCUGUCCCUUAUUGGGCUCCAUUCUAAAGCCAGUAAUCUAAACAAGCCAAUUUGAAGACUACCUAUCAAACAAAAUCAGUGUUUGAAACUCUUUGUGGAAGAAAUUUACAUCUUUAAAGUUUUUUGAGAUGAAGUCUCGUUCUUGUCCCCCAGGCUGGAGUGCAAUGGCAUGAUCUCAGCUCACUGCAACCUCUGCCUCCCGGGUUCAAGCAAUUCUCCUGUCUCAGCCUCCUGAGUAGCUGGAUUACAGAGAAACACAGAGGAGAGACCCAGAGAGAAGGAGAAGGCCGCAUGAAGAUGGAGCAGAGACUGGAGUUAUUCAGCCAAGUCAAGGAAUGCCUGGAGCACCAGAAGCCGGAAGAGGCAAGGAAGGAUCCUCCCUUAGAGCAUUUGGAAGAGUGUGGCCCUGCCAACACCUUGACUUCAAACUUCUGGCCUCCAUAACUAUGAAAUAAAUUCUUGUUGUUUUAAGCC